AGGAUACGUUGCCAUGGUGACCGAUCCAGGACUCGCGAGCCGUUCUCGAGCCGUUCGCUCGUGCUUCUAGACUGUUUUCGGAUCGUGUCACGCGCGCAGACUUUAACGGCAGUUUACAGACAUCAGCGUCGUUUGUCUAUAAAACUCAGAGUUUUCGCCCAAGAUGCUGAAAAAGCAAUUUCCACUGGAUUAUUUUGGAAAUUUGUGAAAGAAUUUGGUUGAGAACGCAACUAAUCCCUAGACGAGACUUUAGAGGAAGACAGCUUCACAUUUCAUCUCCAGUUUUAACACAAGAUGUGGAUUGGAGCAGAGACAUGGAUCUGGAUCCUCACGGUAAACUGAUAGAUGACAGCUAUACUAGGUUUUGGCUUAAUUUCUCCUCCUUAUACAAUUUAGACUCCUAUAGGCUAAAAAGUCCUUUAGAGCUACCAGAAAUGCCUCCGGAGCCACUGAUACACAACUCAGAGCCUUAUAAAAUUGAUCUCCAUGAAAGCUUGGAGUCUUUACUCUGCUAUAUGUUCACAGACGAAAGUGCUGCAGAUUUUCCAUUGUUUCAUGAGGACUUCGCUUUCAAUGAACAAACAGCAGCCAAAGAGGAGACCAGGAAUAUUGCACUAGAUCAUCAGUACAUAAAACAGAACUUUUCACCUCCACAGUUGUUCCAAAGAGAAAGUGAAUCUUCAGAAAUAUGCAGCAGAAACAACAACAAAAUUGCAUUAAGUCCAUUAUGGCACUCUCCAUCAUACAGCACACUGCAGGAGGAAAUGGAUGCUUGGGGAACACAACUCGCUUCUCAAAAUCAUGCAUUAGCAACUCGCGCUGAUGAAGCAAGGAUGAGGCUCCAUACACUGUUGGGUGAAAAUGCACUGCAUAGCUUCAACACACAACUAGAGGAAAUGAGGAGGAAACUCUCACCCACACCCACUAUCAAAACCGAACCUGAUCAACUCAGGCCUGCAGAAAUCAAGCCUAUUGAUGCUUUUUGGUGUCAUGAGGAAGCUCACUGUAUGUGUAAUCGAUUUCCUCAGCAGAAAAUAUCAAACUGUGCUCAAAGCAGUUCCUACGAAGACUUCUUAACGGGGCAAACGUCCGAUAGCUUUCACCUUAUUAGAGGUUUACAAAAUUUAGUACGGUGUGGACAGGUAGUACUUUACGAAGCACAGCAGGCUUUGGACUCAGAUGUUACAGAAAGCAGCUCAGAUGAGAAGGAGGAUGAGGAAGAAGAAAGCAGAUUAAAGAGACCAAGCUCAGGGUGUUUGGGAUGCGAGUGGAGGUAUCAGUGUGAGAGAGCAAUGCUAGCAAGUCAGUGGACAUGGCUGAAGUUCAGGCUGUGUGAGCUGGACACACAGAUUCAGCAGGUGUCACAGCUCCAUCAGCACUUAACCUUCGACAAGGGUGUUGUUUUGGCUGAAGCUCAGCCUUUGACUGAAUGGCAGGUCCAACAGUCUCUGCUGACUGGUGUAGCGUUAUCGGCAAAACAGACAUGCGAUGUCAACUCCGAGCUGGACAGCGAAGACUACAGCCCCACAUGCCUCCUCCAAUAUAUUGACAGACAGAGUGCACAGCUGAGGCAGAUGGUGAACAGUCUGAUGUCUCCUUUGAGUGACCUGAACGCUGAGACGUGCUGGAACGACUCAAGAAAAAGAUCCACUAACAGACUGAAGAGGAGCCGCCGAGCUCAGCUACUACCUCAUCAAGUGUGUGCACGGACUCGCCCUUUGCUGACAUAUUACAAGCGCCGCCUCUUCGCCAUGGACCGACCACCAGUCACAACACAGGGAGUAGACUACUCAAACUACUGGUAUUCAAGCUGUAUUUCCUGUGAUCCCAUGGAUUCAGACCCAGACACCAACAGCACAGACGAGAGCUCAGUGUCCCGAAGCAUCCAUACUGCUUCCUUCAAAGACGACUGGCUUUGUCAGUCUCAAUCCACCAUCCUGUCACCCAGCUACACCACGGAGGAACACGAGUCCUCCAUAUUCAAUUGCACUUACGAGCUGGAAUCUGCACAGAUGCAUCGCAAUGCAACACCGAUUCAGGAGACGCUCACAGCGAAGAGACGCCGCCGAGCGGCUAAACGACAGGCAGUCAUCGACAUGUGUGCAUCCCAGUCCGGUGGCUUGUUUUCUCUCAGUACUGAGGACAGUACAGAGGAAGUGUUAAUACCCAACCGCAAAAUCCUACAAGAGAAAAAGUCACAGAUUUCAGUGCGCAGGAGAAACGGUGAAAGUGCCUUCAACAUAAACAACAUAGUCAUCCCAAUGUCUAUGGCUGCCUCUACCAAACCGGAGAAGCUGGAGUAUAAGGACAUUACCACACCCAGCUGGAGGAUACUACAGCUUUCCCCACUCAUAAAAAAAGAGGAGGAGAAAGACAUCAAUAUGGUGGAGUCGCUAUCAGAUGAGGUGUUUAGUCAGCGACACCAGAUCUAUGAACACAGAGAGAAAGUCUGCUGGAGUUCCUGGGAAAAGAACAGGAGAUCCAUAUAUAGUACUAGGUCUCCCAGCAGCACGGACGUAUCCUCUGAUUGCGAUUCGAUGUCAUGGAUGUGCAGCGGACUCACAGACACAGAGGACAACAUGGAAGAAAGAAAACCUCAGCCACCUUGGGAGAGACGCCUGUUCCCGCUGUCUGAGAGCGACGAGGAAGCUCUGAGCUGUGACGAAGGUGAAGCACUCGAGGCGGUGGUUACAUUCUGGUCAAAUAACGAGCAGACGGAUUCCAGUUUGUCAGAGAGCAGCUGUCAUAGCGUCUCCUCUCUCGGCUAUGCUUACACACCUCCCCCUGCAGGACACAGAUAGAACAACAAGCACAGAGGGACUUCAACCCCCUUAAUCACACAAGUACGUCAAUCAAACGACAGAAGUCCGAGCAGAGUACCAGAGCAGAGGGCUACGAAGCAGGAAGUGACAUCACAGCGAAGCAUCAUUGCUGAUCGAUGCUUUUUAUCUCACCUCUCCGUCACAGAGUUUUAACACUGUUUUAUUAACACUCACGGGUUACUAGUUUUUAAACAUAUUUAAAUGUAACGUAAUGUAGAACAUUACGUAGUAGGCCGUCCCCAGGUUUUAGCUUUAACAUUGGUUUAUAUUUUUUUAUUUAAGAAAUAGCAGACUGUACAGUAAAACAACAUAUGUCAUAAAAUGAA